rnacentral:rRNA from 1 species
GAUGAACGCUAGCGGGAGGCUUAACACAUGCAAGUCGAGGGGCAGCACGAGGUAGCAAUACUUUGGUGGCGACCGGCAGACGGGUGAGUAACGCGUAUGUAACCUACCCCAUACAGAGGGAUAACCCGGAGAAAUUCGGACUAAAACCUCAUAAUACCAUGAAAGGGCAUCUGAUUAUGGUUAAAGUUCCGGCGGUAUGGGCUGGGCAUGCGUAACAUUAGCUAGUUGGUAGGGUAACGGCCUACCAAGGCUUCGAUGUUUAGGGGUCCUGAGAGGGUGGUCCCCCACACUGGUACUGAGACACGGACCAGACUCCUACGGGAGGCAG